AGGCACGUAGCUCAGUGGGAGAGCACCACCUUGACACGGUGGGGGUCGGCGGUUCCAUCCCGCCCCGUGCCUACCA
rnacentral:tRNA from 1 species